rnacentral:rRNA from 1 species
CCGGCGACCGGCGCACGGGUGAGUAACACGUAUGCAACCUGGCCGUGACAGAUGGAUAACCGGGAGAAAUCCCGCCUAAUACAACAUAAUGCCGGGAGGGGACAUCCCCUGCCGGUCAAAGGGGGCGACCCCGGUCAUGGAUGGGCAUGCGGCGCAUUAGGUAGUUGGUGGGGCAACGGCCCACCAAGCCGACGAUGCGUAGGGGUUCUGAGAGGAAGGUCCCCCACAUUGGAACUGAGACACGGACCAGACUCCUACGGGAGGCAGCAG